AAAAAAAACCCCGCCAUCAUGGCGGGGGUAGACAGGGGUAUGUCUAUGGCAAGGAAAACAGGGAUAAUGUGUUA
rnacentral:ncRNA from 13 species